GGCCUCUUGGUGUAGUGGUUGUCACUCUGGACUCUGAAUACAGCGGCCUGAGUUCGAGUCUUGGUGGGGCCU
rnacentral:tRNA from 1 species